GUUGGGAGGGAGAGAGAGAAAUGAAAGAAAUCUGAGUCUAGGGCAUGCCAAAGAGCCUCAUGGAAGGAGUGGAUUGGAUCGGAAACGGUGUAAUGGUAAAAUGAAAAGUAUGAGCUACGAAAGGAACUUUGAGGGAAUAAUUCAUUCUGAGUAGGUUGAAGAAGAGAUACCCAAGAAGGAGAGCAGAUUGAGUGGAGAUGACGAUGCAUAGUCAGCAUCCUUAAGGACAAGCUAUUGAGAUGGAGAGAUCACAAGUGUCAAGUCAGGAGGGAAGCUUAGGGGACAGGAUGAGAAGGGACAAUCAGUCUCAGCAUUUGACAGCGUGCACCGCGUGUUCAUGGGAUGGCAGGGCUGGAAACCUACCAGUGUGGGCUUAGGACUACAUUGAAAGAGGUUUAAAAGUAGAGAAACAGGCUAUGUUAUGCUAUAUGUACAUAGUGAAUUUCUAGUGUUUAUAAGAAAUAGAGCGUAUGUUUCAAACCAAUGAAGAAAAAAGCCAAUAACAACUGUCUGCCUCACUCUCAGGAACAAACAAGGUAAGAAUAUAUUUUUUCUUUCUUUCUUUCUUUCUUUCUUUCUUUCUUUCUUUCUUUCUUUCUCUCUCUCUCUCUCUCUCUCUUUCUUUCUUUUCCUUCC
rnacentral:lncRNA from 1 species